GUAAGGAAAUUUUGUCUCCUAGAAUCCUAAAACAAUUAGGAUACUGCAAAUCACCUUUUACUAUGAACCACUUAUCCUGGUUCUUCAGCAUUCCAUGAUGUUAAGCCACUCUGUCGCGUCCAUAUUUCUUUAUAAUUGUUGUUUCUUUCCUUUUUAAACUUCCAUUAUGUGAGGCAUUUAUCUGAAAUGGUCUGUUUGUGCAUCCAAACAGGCCCUAGUGUGGUAUCCAGUUGCUGAAUAGGUGGGGGGGAGGGAUAUUUCUUGCACUGUUGAAGGAAUAGGCCUAUUCCAUGGAAUAGGCAUGUUUUGGUGUUUGGUUGAGGAAUAAGUGCAGGAAAUAGAUGGAGGUUAUAAGCUGCUGUUAAUGCAUAUCGAACUCUGCGAUAAUUGCUUCUCCAAAAAAAAAAAAGACUGAUAAUUUGGAUUUCAUUAUAAAAAUCAAAUUGCCUUCUUUUAUCUUUUGAGUGUUUAUAGACUGGAUAAGGGCUAAACGGUAAUUGAAGGGAAUAAGGACAAGCCUAUUCCCUAGUAUAAGUCUAUUUUCCACCAUCUUGGUGGAAUAAACUUAUACCAUAUUGGAAGAUAUCCCUUGUCACGAUAUGAGUCCCAAGUUUGUGGUGUUUGGCAAGAAUUUUGGGGGAUAUCCCUCACUUUAGGAUAUACCUCCAUUUAUUCCUCAGCCAAAUGCCACCUAGGAGUACAUUGAUCCUUUCUUUUUAAUUUUGUAUCAAGAGAAAAGGAUUAGGUAUUUUUAAAGAAAAAAUGUACUUGACUAUGAACUGACUAAGAUGAAGAGUCUUGAUAGGUUGUGUUGAUCAUUUAGAAUAUGAAGUUGUCGCAAGUUGUAGUCAAGUGUCAAACGUAUCAUGUAU
rnacentral:lncRNA from 1 species